rnacentral:rRNA from 1 species
AGAGUUUGAUCCUGGCUCAGAGCGAACGCUGGCGGCAGGCCUAACACAUGCAAGUCGAACGGACCCUUCGGGGUUAGUGGCGGACGGGUGAGUAACACGUGGGAACGUGCCUUUAGGUUCGGAAUAGCUCCUGGAAACGGGUGGUAAUGCCGAAUGUGCCCUUCGGGGGAAAGAUUUAUCGCCUUUAGAGCGGCCCGCGUCUGAUUAGCUUGUUGGUGAGGUAAUGGCUCACCAAGGCGACGAUCAGUAGCUGGUCUGAGAGGAUGACCAGCCACAUUGGGACUGAGACACGGCCCAAACUCCUACGGGAGGCAGCAGUGGGGAAUCUUGCGCAAUGGGCGAAAGCCUGACGCAGCCAUGCCGCGUGUAUGAUGAAGGUCUUAGGAUUGUAAAAUACUUUCACCGGUGAGGAUAAUGACUGUAGCCGGAGAAGAAGCCCCGGCUAACUUCGUGCCAGCAGCCGCGGUAAUACGAAGGGGGCUAGCGUUGCUCGGAAUUACUGGGCGUAAAGGGAGCGUAGGCGGACAUUUAAGUCAGAGGUGAAAUCCCGGAGCUUAACUUCGGAACUGCCUUUGAUACUGGGUGUCUUGAGUGUGAGAGAGGUAUGUGGAACUCCGAGUGUAGAGGUGAAAUUCGUAGAUAUUCGGAAGAACACCAGUGGCGAAGGCGACAUACUGGCUCAUUACUGACGCUGAGGCUCGAAAGCGUGGGGAGCAAACAGGAUUAGAUACCCUAGUAGUCC